ensembl:ncRNA C42D8.17 ncRNA
UGUCAUAGAAACGUGUAUGAGUUGAAGUUCUUUUGACAAAAGAAGGGAUAAAAAAUAAUGCAUG